rnacentral:lncRNA from 1 species
UUCCAGAGCCAGAGUAUGCUCAGAGAGAUGCCCUCUCCUUGUCUGUUUACUGAAUGUGUUUCCAGCUUGCAGAGUGUUACUUUCAAUUCUGCAAAGAGGAGGUGGGGAGGGCAGCAUGCACUAAGAUGUUCCUCCCCGCAUCCCACUAACCCCAGGAAACAGAUGGUAAAAUGCUUAAGACACUGCUGCUUCCCUCAGCACCCUUGGUGCCCCACCCCCCAGCCCCAGACUUGGCUCCUUCUCUCCUAAGGCUGAAAUGCAAUCAGCCCAGAUGGGCUCUGGCAGUCAACUCUAUCCUUCUAACUCUGGGCACCAAGCAGGGUGGGAUGAAAGUCUGUAUUUAGUCAGCUAUUUUCCUUCUUCUUCCCGCAAACUUCCCAGCCUUCCUCAAUCCUCUUAAACUUGUGUUCACAUUCCUUUUUUAAUACUCCAAGUGCCAUUUCUCAGGCUGUAGCUUAACUCAUUCUACAUCAGUCUGACAGCAACACAUUCCUCCUGUGUGCAGGGUUCUGGACCAGGCAGGGAGUGAUUGGGCUGGCGGGGGAGGUCAUAUGCUGGUUAACAAUAUAUGAAUCCCACCCUGGUACUCACAGUUGAUGGGAGGAAACAGACUUGCCCGUCUAUAAGCCCAGUGUAGGGAGAAGCCCCAUGUGGCUGGAGAACCAAGUCAGGGCUGGGGAAGCAGGUGGCUUUUAUGGCAGGGCAGCUAAUGGGUCUCAGGCAUUCUCCUUUCUGAGAAGGUGAAAGGCACUCAAGGAGGAAAUGCAGAAGCAAAGGCACCAUCAGAAAGAGCCAGGCAUGUAUAGGCAGGAACCAGUAGAUACAGAGCCUGGGAGAUAAACCUGUGAAGGCAGGUGGGGGCUGUUCGUGGAAGCUCUUGAAUGUCAAGUGGAGACUGAUCUGAAUCCAGUGAGCAAUAGGGAGCCAUUGAAGAUCUAUGAGCUGGGGGAGUUACAGACCCUGAGCUGUGCUUUAGGAAGGUUAAUAGGGGCCAUGGAGAGGAUGCCUUGGGAAAGGAGAGGAAGAUGCAGGGAGACCAGUUAGAAAGUUGUUACCUUAAUGGAGGGUUGUUACCUUAGUGGAGGCUGCAGGAAGGCAGUACAGUCGGGUGGAAGGAGCUGGCUCCCUGGUGUGUUGGCUGGAUCUCCUGCUAACCAUUCCUGCAGCCUGAGGGCACGUUGCCUUUUGGACUUCUCCUUUUGUUAUCUGAUUUUUUGUUUUUUUCCCCCCAGCUUAAGCAAAGAAAGAAAUUCACAAGCAACAGCAGGAAACUCCACCUUCCAUUCCCUCCUCAGGCCUGGCCUCCUGGUUCUCUGUUGGCCCAUGUACUCCUCUGCCAGGUAUCUGGGGCCUCUCUGCAGGGUCUCCAGCCGGAGGAUCUCUCUUCAUGCUCCAUCCUUGUCUUCAGGCGCCCACUUUUGGGGAUCAGGAAGCUGUGCCUGGGCAGUAGGUUUGUCCGUGAAUUGUAGGAGUACUGAUUUAUCCUAGAAGUUGCCAAGCAUCAAGGGGAGACCCUGCCCUUCCCCAGGGGAAUGCAAUUUGAGUGGGCCCACAAGACCCACGCUAGUGAACCAACUGCACAUCUGUGGAGGGUUGGAAUAUUCUCCCAGCUCAGAGAGGAUCGGUGAGCCCUGUCUGUACUACACAGCUGGUAGGUACAGAAAGUGGGUCGCCUGGGGUUUUGCUUCAGUCUAGUGCCCUAGACAUGGCACUCAGAGGAGGGAGAGCUGGGAUCCGGUUCCGCGCGCAGUGCUGAGUCUCCCCUGAUUUGCGGUAGUGGAGCAGUCCACCCGGAGAACUCAGGAGUUUUCGCAGGGCGAGGGGGAGGGCUGGAGCCUGGAACCCCCAUAUUCCUUGCACCUCUUGGGCCCGGGACAGGCAGCCCUUAGUCACUGGGGUGUCCAUAGUGCCCACGAAGGGCCAGCGUCCCAGAGGGUUCCCAGGUCAGGUUGGUGACGUGUGGGGCUUCCCUAACUUCGUAGGCAAAAUCUGCCAGACCCUCCCGGGGGAGCGGAGCUCCGAAUACCAGGGCCGACUCCGCUCCUGAGGCCGCUGAGCCCUCCUGCACCUGUCCGGCCCGGGAAGUGCCAUGGGACAGCUGAUCGCCAAGUUAAUGAGCAUCUUCGGGAACCAGGGUAAGGGGCGCACAGGGCAUCCAAGCGAGCGCUUUGAUCUCGCCCUCUUCUGGGACUCCUCUGAUCUGUGGUCGGACGCACGGGGGGACCUCGGGCUCCGAGGGUCGUAUAUGGGCGCUCCUCGACUGCCCCGCGGCCUCCCCUGCCCCCGUCCCUGCCUGCUCCUCUUGGGUCCCGGCGCUUCGGUGCGCCCCAGGACGCAAAGCUGGGCGACCCUCCUUUCUCCCCGCUAAACGGAGCCAGCGGCGGGGAUGGGGGGCUGCUGCGAGUUUCCUGCGAUUGUGACUUCGCGUUAUGCUCUUUCUCUAAACACCGUCUCUUGGCAAGCCCCGAAGCGCCCCGGGCCUUUCAGACACUUUUCUGGAAUGUGAAGGGAGGUGGGGGCUCAGCUGUCUUUUCCACCGUCCCGGAGUGGGGCAGGUGUCGGAGCUGGGUGGGAAGCAGACGCGGUACGGUGGGCAGAGGUCCCCAGCCUGCGGGGAGCGCUAUCUCCUUCCUGGGAGGUCUGGUGGGGGCACACAGUCCCUUGGUCUUCGGGUUUGGCCCUGACGCUGCCCUUCCUCCGACGCUUCCAGAGCACACGGUCAUCAUCGUGGGACUGGACAAUGAAGGAAAGACCACCAUUCUCUACCGGUUGUAAGU